GACGAACGCUGGCGGCGUGCUUAACACAUGCAAGUCGAACGGAAAGGCCCUGCUUUUGUGGUGUGCUCGUGUGGCGCACGGGUGUGUGACACGUGAGUAACCUGCCCUUGACUUUGGGAUAUCUUUAGGAAACUGGGGAUAAUAUCGGAUAGGAGCUCCUGCUCCAUGGUGUGGGUUGGAAAGUUUCGGUCGUUGUGGAUGGACUCGCUGGUUAUCGGCUUGCUGGUGGGGUAGUGGCUUUCCAAGGCUGUGACGGGUAGCCGGCUUGAGAGGUUGACCGGCGACAUUGCGACUGCGAGACGGAGCAGACGCCUACGGGAGGCAGCAGUGGGGAACAUGACGCAGUGGCCGGGAGCCUGAGUCGGCGACGCCGCGUUCGGGAUAACGGCCUUCGGGGGGUAAACCGCUGUCGCCUGUGACGAAGCGUGAGUGACGGUAAUGGUUAAAGAAGCACCGGCUAACUACGUG
rnacentral:rRNA from 1 species